rnacentral:rRNA from 1 species
GACGAACGCUGGCGGCGUGCUUAACACAUGCAAGUCGAGCGAGAGCCAGUCGAGGGGUAACCCUCGGCUGGGGACAGCGGCGAACGGGUGCGUAACACGUGGGCAACCUGCCCCUGACACUGGGAUAACCCGGGAACCGGAGCUAAUACCGGAUACUCUCGGCCGAUCACGAUGGCUGGCCGAGGAAAGGUCCGCCGGUCAGGGAUGGGCCCGCGGCCUAUCAGCUUGUUGGUGAGGUAACGGCCCACCAAGGCGACGACGGGUAGCUGGUCUGAGAGGACGACCAGCCACACUGGAACUGAGAUACGGUCCAGACUCCUACGGGAGGCAGCAGUGGGGAAUAUUGCACAAUGGGCGAAAGCCUGAUGCAGCGACGCCGCGUGA